rnacentral:antisense_RNA from 1 species
GGCGUUCGAGGUUCGUUUACGCGCCGCUCCGCCGUGCAGGUGGUGGCGAAGCGCUCCUCCGAAAGGUUUCGGAAGCCGGUGGUAGCUCUGAAGAUAACGCUGCGUUAGGGCAUACUGCGGCGGAGGAUGGAACUCCGAUUGAAAGCAGUUGCUGGAGUGGAGCACGAAUUUCAAAAGUUGGAGCUGCAUGUUGAAGUGUGAGGCGUGAAAGGAUAUGUCUGAUAUUUGCUUUAAAAUGCUCCAGCAAAGAAAUUAAGGGAUGGAUGAAGCAAAAGAGCCAGGUAUGGUGGCUCAUGCCUCUAAUCCCAGCACUUUGGGAGGCCGAAGCAGGCAGAUCACCUGAGGUCAGGAGUUUGAGACCAUCCUGACCAACAUGGUGAAACUCGUCUCUACUACAAACAUAAAAAAAUUAGCUGGGUGUGGUACCACACACCUGUAAUCCCAGCUACUCCUCUGGAGGCUCAGACAGGAGAACUGCUUGAACCGGGAGGCGGAGGUUGCAGUGAGCUGAGAUCGCACCACUCCAUUCCAGCCUGGGCAACAGAGUGAGACUCCAUCUCAUAUAAAAAAAAAAAAGUAAAGAAAAAAAAGAAAAUGUCUUUAUUUCAUUUUCUUUCCUAAAGAAUAUAUUUGCUGGAUAAAGGAUUCUGUGUUGACAGUUUUGUUGCUUUUUAAAAGCACUUUAUAAAUGUUGCUCCAUGGUUUCUGAUGAGAAAUCUGCCAUCACUGAAAUCUUUGGUUCUCCUAUAUACAAAGUGUUAUUUUCUUCCAGUUGCUUUCAAAGUAUUUUCUUUACAGUUGGUUUCAUCACUUUGAUUAUGAUGUGCCUGGGUGUGGUUUUCCUUUUUGGGAUUUGCUGUGCCAGCAGACCGGCUUUAAAUAGAAUGCUAUGUAAAUGUACGUGAAUAUUUGUUUUUUGCCAGAUGUUUGGAAGUUUUUAGCUAUUAUUUCUUCAGAUAUUUUUUUCUUCCAAUUGUUCUUUCUGGGCUCCUAAGACAUGAAUAUUAGACUGUUUCAUAUUGUCUCACAGAUCCCCAAAGGUCUUCUCAUUUUUUUCACUUUUUUCUCUGUCAUUCAGACUAGAUAAUUUCUGCUCAUGUAUCUUCAAAUUUACUGACUCUUCCCUCAGUCAUCUUCAUUCUGUUGAGACCU